UACGUAGGGGGCAAGCGUUGUCCGGAAUCAUUGGGCGUAAAGAGCGUGUAGGCGGCCAGAUAAGUCCGCUGUGAAAUCUCGAGGCUCAACUUCGAGCUGUCGGUGGAAACUGUCUGGCUAGAGUCCGGAAGAGGAGAGUGGAAUUCCUGGUGUAGCGGUGAAAUGCGCAGAUAUCAGGAGGAACACCCGUGGCGAAAGCGGCUCUCUGGGACGGUACUGACGCUGAGACGCGAAAGCGUGGGGAGCGAACAGG
rnacentral:rRNA from 1 species